AAGUCGUAACAAGGUUUCCGUAGGUGAACCUGCGGAAGGAUCAUUAUUGAAUAAACCUGAUGUGGUUGUUGCUGGCUCUUUCGAGAGUAUGUGCACGCCCGUCAUCUUUAUAUUUCCACCUGUGCACCUUUUGUAGACCCAGGCGACUUGAGCAAUCAAGUCAAACGGGCCUAUGCUUUAUCAUAUACCCCAUAGUAUGUAAUAGAAUGUAUCAAUGGGCUUCAUGCCUAUAAACAUUAUACAACUUUCAGCAACGGAUCUCUUGGCUCUC
rnacentral:misc_RNA from 1 species